GAGAGACAAACCAACGAGCAUAGCACAUGGCAAAGGAGUGUCUCGAGAGAGACAGACCAAGAGCAUAGCACAUGCAAGGGAUGGCAGUAUAUUGAGUGUUAACGAUGGGAUAGUGGCGGACGGGCGAGUAACGCGUGAGCAACCUGCCUUGUACUGGGGGAUAACACCGGGAAACCGGUGCUAAUACCGCAUAAUACUACAGGAACGCAUGUUUUUGUAGUCAAAACUCCGGUGGUACAAGAUGGGCUCGCGUCCAAUUAGCUAGUUGGUGAGGUAACGGCCCACCAAGGCGACGAUUGGUAGCCGAACUGAGAGGUUGAUCGGCCGCAUUGGGACUGAGACACGGCCCAGACUCCUACGGGAGGCAGCAGUGGGGAAUAUUGCGCAAUGGAGGAAACUCUGACGCAGCAACGCCGCGUGAAGGAUGAAGGUUUUCGGAUUGUAAACUUCUUUGAUCGGGGACGAAAUAGACGGUACCCGAGGAACAAGCCACGGCUAACUACGUG
rnacentral:rRNA from 1 species